AUGUGCCUGCUGGUCUUAAGUAUUGCAGGUGAACCGAUGCUUAUAUACUAGGGAGCCUGAGUUCAUUCGUGGUGAGCAUGCCGCGCCUGCCGAGUGCACGCGGAAGCCUAAAGCGAAGACAGGGCACCCACCUAACGAGGUGGGGUUCCCUUUGCGACUGUCGGACUGACGGGCACAUU
rnacentral:other from 1 species